rnacentral:rRNA from 1 species
GAUGAACGCUGGCGGCGUGCCUAAUACAUGCAAGUCGAGCGGACGGACGAGAAGCUUGCUUCUCUGAUGUUAGCGGCGGACGGGUGAGUAACACGUGGAUAACCUACCUAUAAGACUGGGAUAACUUCGGGAAACCGGAGCUAAUACCGGAUGAUAUUUUGAACCGCAUGGUUCAAAAGUGAAAGACGGUCUUGCUGUCACUUAUAGAUGGAUCCGCGCUGCAUUAGCUAGUUGGUAAGGUAACGGCUUACCAAGGAAACGAUGCAUAGCCGACCUGAGAGGGUGAUCGGCCACACUGGAACUGAGACACGGUCCAGACUCCUACGGGAGGCAGCAGUAGGGAAUCUUCCGCAAUGGGCGAAAGCCUGACGGAGCAACGCCGCGUGAGUGAUGAAGGUCUUCGGAUCGUAAAACUCUGUUAUUAGGGAAGAACAUAUGUGUAAGUAACUGUGCACAUCUUGACGGUACCUAAUCAGAAAGCCACGGCUAACUACGUG